CCCCGAUUUUAGGCUGGCAAGAUGUGGAUUUCUUGAGGCCAAAGCUGCUAAUAUGUGAUUAAUCACAUUACUGCCUGACCUACGUAUGAUUGUGGCUCCAAGUUUCUUCCUGCGCAUAGUCAGUGGUGGUGUUGAGCAUUAUUUCUUCCUUUAAAAUUUUUUUCAUACCAUCUAUUUUGAUCAUUUUUCCUUCUUCCAACUCUUCCUCACGCAUCCAACUUUAUGUUUUCAUGUUCUUUUUCUUAAAAACCAAACCAAACCAGUCCUGUUGUGUCUGAAUGAUGUUGUUUCCCUUGGAGUUAUUCACCGCUUCUGGCUCUAACCAUAUUUCCGAUGCUUUUUCUUCAUAGACCCCUGAGCCUUGAGAGAAAGGGCUUGAUGAAGACAUCUAGGACGGAGUGCUCCAAUCUCUCUGCACUUUGGAGGACCAUUCUUAUUUAACUUCCCUGUCUGUUUCUCUUUGCUUUUUAGCGGUCCUGUCACCUCUUUCUUGGUUCUUCACAUUUACCCAGAGAAAGCCUCAAUGCCAUCUUACCCGAGAUGCUUCACUACAGUGCGUUUCAUGUACAGUGAAUUGCGUAGUUAAGUGUGCAUGAACUGAGCUUUGACACAGCAUUUCAUGCUUCUCAUGAGACUAGAAAAUGUCUCAGAACCCUGACAUACCUUGAAGUAGAUGGUGUGUGCUAGACUAACGAAGUUUGUAUGAAUUGGGGCUAUGUAGAGGACAGAACCCAAGUUUACGUCUUCUAUUUGAAGUUUCUCUCUAACAUCCCCACAAAAGGGCACACUGGCUGCAUACACUGUGAUCAGUAUCCGAAAGUUCUAAGUUAGAAGUCCUCGUUUAUACAAAGCCACAUACAUUGUGGAGACAGCUGUUCCUAGCUGUAAGGAGCCUUUCCUUGGUCUUAUUAUUUUUCUGUAACAUGUUCCCAUCUCUUUGACUAAUUAUCACUGGUAAUGAUUUUGGAGGUUUUCCAUGUACCUCCUGAUUGUUCCAGCAAAGUUUAUAUUAGCAUUAGUGCCUUGACAAGUUGGGCUCUUUCAAUUCCAGGCAACUGAGUGGCUUUCUUUCACCUGGUCUUGUCAAAGUAGCCUUUGGCCUUCAAUUAAGAUCUUAAUCGAAGAUUAAUUAAGAUCUUUCUGGACUCCAAGUCUGCCUUCAAAUACCUUUGAAAGAUUCAUGCCGCCACCUGCUGGCUUAUUCAGGCUGUGUGUACCAUUCAUUUAUUUAUUAUUUUCAUUUUCUUUUGUUGAGACAGGGUUUCUUCAUUUUGUAAUAGAGACCAUCCAUCCUUACCUGAACCACCGCGAUGUCCGGAUUAGUGAAUUGCAGGUACUUGGAAGGUCCCUAAGCAAAACAAUUUUGUGUACUUUGUUAUUCAUCUGAUGCCUAAAGAUAACUUAGAAUAAGGAGUGAUUUAUUUUGUUUAGUUGAAUCAACCAGAAGACAGCGUAUUCUUUGAUUUUCUAACACCUGGUAUCAAAUUUCUUUCAGAUGGCUAUCCAGUGUUUCUCAAUGAAUAAAAUUUGACAGUUCUCUAAGUUAACUGUUUCUCCAAGGCAAGCACUAUACCACUACUGGGCUCAACCUUUCCUUUGGCUUUUAGCAAUUAUUUUCUGCCACUGCUAGUAAGUAAACCGCUUUGCUGAAUUUUCAGUUCAAAAUAUGGAGUCAUUCCAUUGCCAGAGAAAGUACAAAAAUGCUGACGACCCAAAACUCUGAGCUUAAGCUGUACAACUAGUUCACAACUAAAUACCCUGAUAAUUUAGGAACUAAGGGGUCAUUUAGUGAAGUCAUUCCUCUGUUUCCUUACCAUGAGCUCACCAAUUAAUCCACAAGAACUUUUAGUCUCCAAGACAUACAAGGUGAGAUGUCCAAGUAGGCGAUAUAUAGAAAAUAUGCAUAUACAUGAUGUGUGACCUCACAUACAUUAUAUAAACGUUUAUGUGCCUUUCCCAUAAGCUAUAAAAUAGAGGAUAAUCCUUCAAUAUCACAUCAAAUAGUGGAAAUUUAGAAAUUUGGUCCGGUCAUUGAGUUUUGGUACCGUUAUAUUUAUUCUUCAUAUUAAUUAUUCUUAUUCAAGAUCGCUGCUUGAGCUGAAGCGCCAAUAAGCAAUCAUCCCCUUGUGUGGCCACUCCUCUUCUGUUCUCUCCGCCUUCAGCGCUUUAGUCGGUUAAAAACCAGCGACUGCGGCCAUAUUUUAAAGCAGUCUUCUGUGGAUGUGAGGUUUCUCCCUAUAUAACAGGGUCUCUGGGAACAUUUUUAGUUCCCCUACCACCAUGCCUUAUGGUGUGUUUAAGGAAUUAUAUCAAGAUUCCACAAAAUGCUUUUGAACAUUUUAAAUGUUCUGGUGGGCUUUUCUUGAUACUUCCUUCAUAUCUUGAUAUUUGUAAUAUUUAGGCAAUUUUUCAUUUUUUUUAAUGAAUAUUUCUUUGUCAGGCACUUUGUUGCCUCCUCUCGUGUGGACUUACCUUUACCUUUCUAUAUUUUUACUCCAUUUUUAUAUUUUUGCCCAUCGGGGCCACGGAUACCUGACCAUUGUGUCCUCCUUCCGUUUUUCUCCCAUGCCCAUCGGGGCUGUGGAUACUUACUUGCCUUUUCAUCCUUUCUGGUUUUAUCCCCUCUUCCUCUUCUUUUUCUUCUUUUUAGUCUUAGAAAACUUGCCCAUCCGGGCUGUGGAUACCUGCUUUUAUUUUUUUUUUUUUCCUUAGCCCAUCGGGGCCAUGGAUACCUGCUUUCCACACAAACCGAAUUUCUUGGUCCAUCGGGACCUUGGAUACCUGGGUUUAGUGUUUUUCCUUGCCCAUCGGGGCCUCGGAUACCUGCUUAAUUUUUGUUUUCUUUUCCUUUUUGCCCAUCGGGGCUGUGGAUACCUGCUUAAAUUUUGUUUUCAUUGCCCAUCGGGGCUUUUAGUGGAUGGAAAUAUGCUGAUUUUGUGAGUUACUGUCCUACUGGAAAAUUAAUCCUUUUUUUCCCUAUGCCUCUUGCUGCUGCUGCUGAUCAUUUGGUUGUGUGUGAGUGAACCUAUGGCUUAGAAAAAUGACUUUGUGCUUCAACUGAGUGAGUGUUCAGGGCGUGGAAAGUUCGUUUCCGCCAUUUUAUGGUUGCUGCAUGAUAUGGGCAUUCUCGAGCCAAUUAUGCCAAGAAUUAGGGAGUCGAGGUGGACAGUGGACUGGACAGAGGCAAUCAUUGUGUUAUCCACCAGCUAAAAGCUUUUUAUGUGUGGGUUUGGACUUGAUUUGUGGGUUUUCUUUUAAGAAUCAUGGUAACCGAAAGCAGAAAACCAAGGAGCUGUCGUGUUCAUGUGUGGUGUUAGGUGAAAUGUGCAGAGGGGUAGGGCUUGAAAUGGACAUUUCCAUAUUGCUGGGGAACUCUGUCCAGUUCUAAGGGGUGCUUCUUAUGGUCAUCAAAAUGGCGUCUCGGACCCUGUGCCCAAAAUUCAACAGUCCAACCUCUGUUCUAAUAGUUAUCAUUGGAGGUAGGGCAUUUAGGUUAUAAAAGAGAAGAUGGGGCUCAAGGUCUUGCUGCAGUAUAACGUGGUGGGCUUUGCUUUUCACAUGGUAGGUUGGUGGCUAAAUUAGCCCAGGGCACAAUGUGGCACAUGGUCAUGAGUGGCUAAGAUGGCGGUUUAUUCUGUGAUGAACCCUCAAAGGUACACCCUUGGAGGAAGUUGUGCAGGCUUGAGACAGAGUUUCUGGGGUCUUGGGCAUGUUUUAUGGGGUCUUGGGCAUGUUUUAUGGGGUCUUGGGCAUGUUUUAUGGGGUCUUGAGAAGGUUUUGUGGGGUCUUGAUGUGCUUUGCCCAAGGUGAACUUGGUGCAUUAAGAUAGCAAGUGGUUGGUUCUACCUUGUGCCACUCGAAGCCCAACUGACUUAAUCAGAAAUGGGCGCUAUUUUGAAGUAUUUGCUGCUUCUUGACUUAACCAGUCAAAAAUGAGCACUACUACUUGGUGUAGAGGAUGGUAGUACACUGUGUGAAGACUCUCUGUCCUUCAAGGACUUGUGUUACUUUGGUACCUUACAUUUGUCUUUAGUCAUCGUUAUUUGAAGUGUCUAGCUGGCUGCGAGAGCACAUGCUUGUGAUUCUAACAUUUGAGGUGAUGAACAACAAUCCGAUCUGAGAGAAUUGAGGCUGGAGGCUCCUGAGGUUGAGGUCAAUGUGGGUUGCUGACUGAAACUUCACCUAUUAAAAGAAAGAAGAGAAUCAGUGAUGGGGUCAAGUUAAAGUAUCUAUCUCCCCAAGGAUAGUACCUAAGAUUGUUUCGGGCAGUUGACAUAUUCACUUGCCCUCCGAUUUGUCAUAGAUGGUCUUUUGCGGUGUUCUACAUAUGGUGGUACAAGCUAAGCUUCACCCCAUUCCUUUAUAUUGCUUCAGUGGCCUAAGACUUUUCUAUUCACUCCCUGGCCUCUGAUUUAGCCAGCACUUCGAUCUCAAGCAGUUCUCCAGGCCUGCUGUGGGCUUAGUGGUAACCCUGGCCAGAGUCAUAAUGGACCACAAAUAAAUCACUGGCCAAGAGGUGGAAUUCUACUUUCCUCCAGAGGAUCAUCUACAUACAUGGCUAAUGCUGGGGUUGAAUUUUGGUAUACAUGAAUGUUUUGGAUGUCAGCAAUAAGUCUGAUAUUGUGGUUUGCUAGUGCUUGUAUUUAAAGCUAUAGUGAUUAUAGGAAUGUAUUUAGGGUCUUUGUUUACUUGUCGAAUUCAUUUUAAUUACCUUUAAUGAGUUUUGCUUCAGAAUCCUUAAAGUUUUUAGUUUCUUUUAAAUUCAUUAACUUUUUUGGCAGAUGAUACUAAAAUUACUGGCUCUUAAAAAUUUGAGUCUAGUGACACAGAUACUAUUACUGUAAAGUUAGUUUUGUGAUUGGAUAUCAAAAGGAGUAUCUGAAGAUUUACAGGCUUUGCUUUUAUUACCAUCCUUGAUGCUACAUUGACUAAUGAAUGACUUGACUCAACAGGCAGGAGCCUUGAGUUGUAGUGGUCUGGUGUUCUCUAUCAGACUUACUAUUAACAUUAAUGCCUACAUUCCAACUUUCUAUGGUUUCUUGCUGUUGUGGCAUGCAGUUUCUCAAGACCCAGCAAACACUGCUGCCCUGCCCCAGUCCCCAGUCCCCAGUCCCCAGUCCCCAGCCCCAGCCCCUGCCCUAGCCCAACCCCCCUGCCCUAGCCCAACCAGCCCUGCCCAAGCCAGGCCCAGGCCCAGCCCCAGCCUCAGGCCCAGCUCCAGGGCCAGCCCAGCCCAGCCCCCCAGCCCCAGCCAGGCUCACCCCAGCCCCAGGCCCAGGCCCCAACCCAGGCCCCAGCCCCAGCCCCAGGCACAGUCCCCUAGCCCCAGUCCCCUUCUCCUUAGAGAUAUUCCAAUCUUCAUUGAUUGAGUGCUAAAAAUGCAGUGUCCAUUACUCAUCCUGGAAAACUGAGAUAUCCUGUCUCUAUCCCCCACUCCAUGCUGACUGCCUGAGUCCUGAUUUUCACUUAAUGCACACAAUCCAACUUGUCCAUGGACUUAUAGUAUUAUAACAGAAUUCUUGCCCCUCAUAUGUUAAUCAAGAAACACCAAUUGAACAAUGGUUUCAUUUCAGAGAACUGCCAUCAAGGCACUAUCUCCUAAGUCUCCUUUAAGGAAGGAAAAACCAUUCUGUCAUUGCUUCAGUAGUCACAGUCCCAUUUUCUGACCAGUGCUCAGUAAUCUUUUCUCACACACUGUCUUGAGCACUCUUUGCACUGAGUAAUUUUGAUUGCCCAUAAUUUAUCCAUUGGAUUAAGCCCUAUCUGGUCCAGCCUCAUUUGCAUUCAGCAGAGGGGCAAACACAAGUCUGUUAUCAGACAACUAAGGUGCUUAGUCCCAAUUCUCAAGGCCUUGGCUAUUAAGAGGGCCACUAUAUCCUGUUUGUAUGCUGGCACCGGUGCUAUCAUCCCAGGUUACAUCAUUUAAAUUGAUGGAAAUCAAUUCAUUUGUCCAUAAUACUUUAUACUAGUCCCAUCAGCUUCCCUUAUUUCAGCUGAAAACGGCACUGGGACAGUUUAUGUGUAUAAUCCUGAUUAGGAACUGAACCCUUUCUCAAGGUCCUUGUAUAACCUUAAUGUAUAACAUUAAUAGAGUGCUGAUUACCUAAAGCCUCUUGCAUGAUUGUGUAAACUGCAGUUGCUCAAGUCUGCGUUACUAACCAAGAUCUCAUACCCCCACACCUUAAUGGGUGACAAUGGGGGGGGGCGCCAACUGAUAAGGCCUGUUCUUUGUUCUGGUCUUUUGGCUGUGCUGGGGAUCAAACUUAAUCAUGUGCAGGCUAGUAGAGCUCUCUGCUAUGGAGCUACAGCUCCACCUUGUGGUUGUUUUGAGAAUGAGUCUUUAUGUAUCCUGGGCAGACGCUUGAGCAUUUCAGUCCCGGUUAGUAAAACUACAGGCAUUGCCACCACUUCUGCCUGUUUUUAUAUGCGCAGCUGCAUUUGUCCCUCUUCCUGGGCAUUGGAUAAAGAAACAAACUCAUUUAUUUAGCAAGAACUUUGACCUCAGAUUCAAUCUGUUCUGUUUUUAAUUUCCAGGCUGGCCUUGAGCUCAGAUCAAGCCUUCACUUCACAAGUGCUGGCAUAACUGUUGUCUACCAUGCCCUGCACUCUCUCAGAUUGUGAAUGUGCAUUUUGCUGUAGUAGUAUGCAUUGUGUAAAAACCUUAGCUACUCAUUUGUAUUGCAGCAGGAGGUGCCUAGUACUUAAGAUCCUUAACACAGUUAAAUGUGCACAGUUUAAUUGUCUUGUACAUAUUAUGUCCACAGUUGCGCCUUUUAGAUCAGAACUCCUGAAUGUGUAUCAAAGUAGAGACUCACUAACUCUGUAGUCUCUUUCUUGAGAGUACAGAAAUAAUUCCAAUAUUAUCAGUGGUCCUUCAUUUAAUGGAAAUAUGUGUUGUUCACUUAAAGCCACUUUCUUAACCUGCUAAUGUACACGACGGCAACUUCAGGAGGAUCAGUUUUACUCUCACUUUGAAGUACGGCAGUUGUGUUGACCUAUAAGGUCCCAUUUUGUGGCUUGCUAAUGUCUGAUUGCAUCUGUGCUUUUCUGUUCACUACAGAAGGAAAUCACUCCUCACCCUUAUGCCUUUCCCUUUCAUCAGGGAAUGCAUGUUGCCAAGAUCCUUAUAUUUGAAUGGUCAAAGUGUAAAACUCUAAUUAAUGGCCACAACCAUGUACCUUGAGUAUUAGUGGGCCUAUGCACAUGAUGUAUUUCAUUUGAAUAAGAUCCUACUCUCAGACCCUUUUGCAGUACAGCAAGGGUCACAAAUCUCUUGGCUUCUUCAUCUUCCUGGACACUGUAUAAGGAUAUCCUCUCCUUUCCACGCCCUUUGAUUUCUAGGAGUGUCCAUUACUUUAAGGUCUUGAUAUAUGUAUGAAAGGUGUGGCUUUAAUUAACCACAUGAUGUCCCCUGAACAUUAAUGUACAUAAUAGGGACAGGAUCCAUUCAUUUUAAUACAAAGAUUUGGACAGUUGAUGUGCAAAAUUGCAGUUAUUCAUAACCUUACUACCUUUAAGACUACUGUGUCUCUUUUGCACUACUGCAAGGGAUACUGUUAUUUCCCAGGGUCCCUGCAAGUGGACCAUUAAUUUAUAUAGGGAAAUUUUCCUUUGUCUUUGUCAGUAGACAAAGUCAUCCUUUUCAUUUGCAGUAUAGCAGGGUAUGCUGAUCAACCGAGGCUGCCUUCUUUUGGACUGUUAGUAUGUAUUAUGUUAUGCAUAUGCAUUUCCUCCUGCUCUGUGCACUAGAAAAGGAUCCCACUCACUUCCUUAUUACCUUCCACAGGAAGUGGAAAGUUCAAAUGCACAGUGUCUAAGCACUUGUAUCAGAAACCCUGUAUCCUCUCUCUCUGCUUUAAAGCAGAAAGAGGCUUUUUAAAAACUUUGUGCCCUUCAUUUGGACUUCAAUGUGCAUUACCAGAGUUGUCCAUCCUUACCUUUGGAAUAGGAUUUUACAUCCUUGUACUCUUGACAUCAGAGGCAUGUUAGCUAUUUUGAGCACUUCUCAUGAAUAUUAAUAUGUACACUUACACAUGGACCUGUGUAGCAGAAAGGGUUCCUAAGUUUCUACCUUUUGACCGGGGCAGCUGAGGAAUGCUAACUGUUUAUAACCUCAGCAUCUGGAUGAUUACUGUGCAAUAAUGUCAGUGGUAGAGAGUACCAAUUAUUACUUGGACCUCUGUACUCUCUUUGCAUACCAUCAGAGAUACCGACCAACUAAGCCCCUGAAUUGUUAGUGUGCAUAUUUUUAAUUAUGAAUGCCUAGAAUACUAUGUUCUCAUACCCCCUUUGUAUUACUGCAGGGGCUGCUGAUCCAUCUAAAACAUCUGGGACUAUUAAAUGAGCACAGUGACUCUGACCAAUGGCUUAUUUUGGGACUACUAAUAGGCACAAUGGCUUCUCUUGAUGGUUUAUUUUCUCCUCUGACAUGUUGAGCAAAUCCCCUCCUCUAGUUUCCCAUUGGCACAAUAAAGUAAAAUGCUGCAGUGUGUCUAUGCUUUGUACACCCAACAAUGACCCAGGUUUCCAUCCCUUUUGCAUUGCUCUAGUAUAUAAACCCCUAAAUAUCCAUGAUCUCACCCUUUACACAGUCUUCCCUCUGCCCAGCCCCUAGCUUGUCCAUGGACCACUCUUAUGGACUACUAAUUCUCACAAUCCAGUUGUUGAAGAAGAUUUUACACCCUUUCCCCAGUUCCAUCACUCCGUCCCUUCUGCUUCUCUGUUGAGUAAUAUUGACUGGGCAAGACCCUUCUCUUGAUUUAAAGUCAUCAAUCCCAGAAGCCAUGAGUUUACCCAUUUCAUGUGGCUGCAAUGAUUCAGUUGCACUCUCCUUGGUUCUACCCAUUGAAUAGAAACACUUGUACUGCAUUAUUCUGUCAUUACCCAAAACACCCCAUGUGUCAUUAAUGAACACAGUACCCAUCGACUGUCCCACCGUUCAGCCCAUCUGCCCAAGAGCUCCCUACUACUUGGAUGUAUUUAUACAUGUGAAAUAUCAAAAGCAGGCCAAAACUAGGUGGAUGAACCUUCGCUCUUUAGUUUUCAUUUCUUAAUUACUCUUGAUUCCAUUUGCUAGCACAUUCUAGGGCCAAGGUCAUUCCUGCCCACCUUUAUUAAUGCUUUAUUGUGCAAAAAUAUUUCAGGCAAGUUGCUCAGGGAGCUGGAUUGCCACCUUUUGUUUGGGGCUUUCCUUACAUAGUAUCAACUGAAAAUUGUCUCCCAGAGAAAAGAAAGGAUGCUUAGCUAGCACUUUCUUUACAUUCUUCCUCCAGGAACCAGCUGCCUGCUUAAGAAAUUCAAACUUGUUUCUCUUUUGUAUAUUGCUACUGUACAGUGCCAACUGCCAGAAAAGUUGUUGAAAGUUUAUGCUUUAAGAAAGACAUUUGGAUCUCAAGGUGAAGUUGAUUAUGUGAUCAUUAGCUUUGCUGAAGUAAAAUAGCUAUUUAUAUUCUAUAUCUGAUCACCAAGCAGUGUCUCUCAUUUUACUGAGGGUGGUGAGUCUGUGGCUAAGUCAUUAUGUGUUGUUAUUCUGAUACCUUCAAAGCAGUUGUAGAGUGGAAUGCUUAGGGCCAGUAUGUUUGUUUGGUCUGUGCUAUCAAUUUAAAAAUAAAAAUCAAUCUUUAUGGCCUUUAGUGUCAUUAUCUUUUAAGAAAAUGACCAAACUUUCUAAAUUUGGUCCGACAUAUUGAACACCAGCUCCUACUUAUUUUCAAAAGGUGGCUGUGAAAGGAUUAAAUGAGAAAACAUGUUAAGUGGCCAUCACAUUUGAUUAAUUCUCUAUAUCUGACAUUAAAUGCUGGCAAUGAUUUCAUAGCUUGAAACCACCCUAAAGUGUGGGAACUUUAAAAUAAUGGAGCCUGUUUCCCCACUUUACAUUUUAAAACAUAUCUGCCAACACUUGAGAGAACACUUUGAAGAGAGAUCUGCCUAGUAAGAAAAUGCCUGUCUCUAGUGGAAAGGAUGUUUUGCGGCCGUCAAAUAUUUAAGCUUUUUGGUUUUGUUCUUUAAUUAUUGUGUGUGUGAGAGAGAGUGAGUGUGUGUGUGGGUGCAUGUGUGUCUGUGUGCGCGCACGCGCGUGCUCACAUGUACACUCAGGCAUUCACAUAGUGACCAGCAAUGGGAACUGGUUCUUCUAUCUUCUGGGUCCUGGAGAUCAAACUCAGAUCGUCAGGUUUGGCAGCAAGUGCCUUUACCCUCUCAGCCAUCUUGCCAGUCUGCUGCUGAGUAUUUAAUGUGACAUUGCUGAUGAAAAUAGUCAUCGCCACAGCAGUUCUUCAAAGUUACUGAGAAGACGAUACUAUUUUUCUGAGAAGGACAUCAAGAAAUCUACCCAGUUCAGGUUGAACUUCAGCUCUUCAGACAGGUACAGAAGACUGGCUGUUUAGAAUACAGGUAUAACUAUCAUUGGAAUUGGUUUUCCCGGGAUGAAUUUGGAGUUGGUUUUGUGCCCCGACUGCUCUUAGAAGGAUGAAUGAUAGACAGCAUCCAAAAGGACCAUCCCAGCAUGGGACUCAAGGACUGAUGGCAGCUGACACAGGCUUCAUUCAAAUUCAGCACAUUUUUUCCUUUUGAGCCUCCGGACAAGCUCUAGCCAACCUCAGCAAAUAAUUUGCAUGGCCAUAUGGAGAAAAAGAUCUUCCCCAAGAAGUAUGGGCUUGUUGCUUUCCAGUGCUGGUGACCUGUUCCCUUUGACGAUCCCUAGGUGGAGAUGGGGCAUGAGGAUCCUCCAAGGGAAUAGCUCACCACCAUUGGACAAUAGCCCUAGCCCUGGAGAUUUUAGUGAGACCCUUUGCUGAACCCAACAAAGUCAAAGAUAGCCACCCUACAUCACAAUAGGAGAAACCCUGCUGCACAGUAGUGGCACUGACUUCAUGAGCAAGUCAUUCUGUUUCACCUGGUUCUCAAAGUCCCUGGAAGCUCUGGGGGAGAACCUUACCAGCUGUUUGAACGCUUCGAGAUUCAUGGUGCUACCCAUGGGGUAGAAUAUCCACUCCAUCUACCAGGUCAUCCAUCAUCCUUCCCCAAAGCAGUACAGAAAGCUGGGUCUUCUGCAGGAUCACGAAAGGAAGCCAGCUUUAAGAGCCAAGGACCAACAUGUCUGCAUCUUAGCACCACAACAGAAUGAAUGUGCAUUGUGUUGUAUGUCUAUUUCCUCAUUGUUCUAUGCAUCUGUUUCUUCCUUGCUUUAUGUGUCUAAUUCUUAUUCAUUAUAUCUAUUUCUUCCUAGCUUUGUGUGUCUUAAUUUUUUGAUGUAUCCAUUUCUUCCUUGCUUUAUGUGUCUUUCUUCCUAGCUUUGUGUGUCUAGUUUUUCUUUGAUGUAAUCAUUUCUUCCUUGUUUUGUAUGUGUUUCUUCCUUGCUUUGUGUUUCUUUCUUGCUUUGUAUGUUUCUUCCUUGCCUUACAUGUCUUUCUUCCUUGCCGUGUAUGUCUUUCUUCCUUGCCGUGCAUGUCUUUCUCUCUUGCCGUGUAUGUCUUUCUUGCUGUGUAUCUCUUUCUUCCUUGCCGUGUAUCUCUUUCUCCCUUGCCGUGUAUGUCUUUCUUCCUUGCCAUGUAUGUCUUUCUCCCUUGCCGUGUAUGUCUUUCUUCCUUGCCAUGUAUGUCUUUCUCCCUUGCCGUGUAUGUCUUUCUUCCUUGCCGUGCAUGUCUUUCUCUCUUGCCGUGUAUGUCUUUCUUCCUUGCCGUGUAUGUCUUUCUUCUGUGUAUCUCUUUCUUCCUUGCCAUGUAUGUCUUUCUCCCUUGCCGUGUAUGUCUUUCUUCCUUGCCGUGUAUGUCUUUCUCUCUUGCCGUGUAUGUCUUUCUUCCUUGCCGCGUAUGUCUUUCUUCCUUGCUGCGUAUGUCUUUCUUCCUUGCUGUGUAUCUCUUUCUUCCUUGCUUUGAUGUCUGUGUCUUCCUUGUGUGUCUUUUCCUCCUCUAAUCUACAGUGUAUCUUACUUAUUUCCAUGCUAAUUUCUCUGCUAACUUUUUCCUUGUAGAGUUUUGUCUUGUUUUCACCUCUGGUGCCUGUGUGAUCUGUGCCUUGUUUUGGUUAGAUAUGGCUCUUUUUUUCUAUCUGGUUGCCAUUUCUGUUAGCUCUUCUUUCACUCUUUCUGCCUCUCAUGCCCCCUUUUGGUCACACGCUGUAUGCACUUUCGGUGUGAUGUUUGUCAGCCCUUUGACGUAACAUUUCACAUUUUUCUUUCUGCUGUUACAUUCUUAGCACAUGGUUCUCUUUAUUGCAUCUGCUUUCUGCUUUUUUUGGGCUGUUUUCUCUUUUUUCCUUUGUAGCUGUGUCUUUUUGGUAUUUGUGAUCUCUGCAUUAAUCCAUUGCUUUGUAUUUACUUGGGUUUCUUUCUCUUUAACAUUCCCCUUUCUACUACUCACUCUGAGCAUUUCAGUCUCUGUCUACCUCCCUUACUCUAAUCUUUUCUUGGGUAUUUCUUUGUGUAUGUGUGUGUCAUGUGUCACAGAGAGUCUUCUUAGCCCCUUCCCAAUAGGUGCUGAAUGUUGCCAGUGGCUGUUCUUCAUGCCAGACUGACAUGCGAAAUAAUCUGACAGCACUCCCGUCAGGAUGGAAGUAGAACUGAAAUGACCACAUGAAAAGGCUCAAAGUGGAAGACAUGUUUUGUGACUUGACUUGAAGACCAAGAUACACAGAAGGCCUGUAUGAGCUGGCUGGCUGGACAGAAUGCUCAUAACUCAAAGAGAGGGGCUGCUUCUACAGAACUCACGUGAAGUCUAAGAACUGAGACCUGUGUCAUAAGACACAAAACCUAAGCUAAGUCCAAGCCCAAGAUCUAAGGACUCAAGCCUAUAUGGACAGAAGGUCUAAGAGAUAAAGGCUAGAAAUUGGAGGCCUAUGGCCUAAAACUCUGGGGGGAAUAGAACCCCAAGACCAGGGGAAAUCUGAAGAUGAGAUCCCCCUUUUCCUGGGACAUUAUCAGCACUCCCUCUGUUUCUUAGAUUUCCAUUUAAGCCAGAUUUGCUUGAGAUGUACUUUUCAAUGGUGUCAUUUACUAUAAAGAAACAAGCUUUUAGAAUGACAGUAUUGUACAGGGGUCAAUCUUUAGUCUGUUUUAAACUUGAUUUAGCCAUUUGUUAAAUUUUUGAUGUUUUAAAACUUCCAUUUCUCUUCACAUCUGCUCCACUUGAGAGAGAGAACAAAAUCCAGCCAGUGGUAUCUAGUCUGACUUUUGAUAUUCCCCUAGAAGCAAGCAUCCAUACAGAUACUGUACUUCCAUCCUCCAUAACUCAGAAGCCCUAGGCUAUGAGAAAGGAAAGCAUCAGACUGUUAGGGGAGAACAGUAUCAGGCUAUCUAGAGAAAAUAUGAAGACCUACUCCAGACCAAUGAGAAGAAUUAGACAAGCAAUAUGCAAAUGUGCCGACCUUCUGAGAAGGACCAGCCAGCAUUACCUUCCUUCUUUGGGCUUAGGUGAGCAGGAAAUGGAUUUCUAUUAAUGAUAGCAGUGAUUAGGUUUGGGACAGACUGAAGUUUGAAUUCCCUGCUCUUUGUGGUGGCCAAGUAAUUUGGUGCAGGACAGUGAACCUACUCCUGGGUUUAACACCCACCUUUAGGAUUAAUGAUGAGAGAAUUUGGGACUGUUUAACAGGCUUCAUGUUUCUCCUACCCCUCCUCCCCCUUUAAGAGAGAACUUAAAUGACUGAUACAAACACAGGAGAAAAAAGUAACAUACUCAAAGCACAUUGGCAGCCAUGCAUACUGAACAUUUGAAAAUGUAAUUUGAGUUUUUCCUGUAAGGAGUCAGACUGUAAAUACCUGAAGCUUUGUGGGCGGUUGGUCUCAGUCGCAUAUUCUCUUACCUUUUCAGAAGGUAAGAAUCCCUCACUGGCCGGUUGCCUGGACUUGACCAAGCCCUCAUAUAAAUGCCAGGGAACAUGUCUGAAUAACAGUACUUUCCUUCUCUAUGCCUAUCUUUGUGCUGAGCACUAAGGAUGUGAUGCUUAACUGUGGUCACUUCCAGGUAACAUGAAGAUGUUACCAGGUACAUAAAAAUGAGUAAAUAAAUACACUUUGUAAACCAUAAAGCACACUAAAACUUGUAAGUCAGUGUUGAAUGAAUGCAUAUUACCUAGUACAUGCAUUCUAUUGGCCUGUGUGCUAUGGGUACAAAGAUUGCUGUAGGAAUAAUGAGUAAAAACAUGCUUUGUUAAAAAUAUAAAUAUAAUAUGGCUUGAAUGAAGCAUAAUCUAUAUACUUAGGGCCAAUGUGUUUCUAUUGCUUUGGUGAUUUUCAGUAAAAUACAUUAUACCAGAUAGCAAAAAAGAAAACACAUGGAAACUGAUUUUAAAUUACAAAAUAUGCCACAAAUACAAGUGACUCCCCUAUUGCAAAAUACCAUGCUCAUCACCAGGGAUAAGAAAGUGGAACAUUUUAAAAGAAGAGCACAGUAUGCAGCUGUCAAUAGCUCUAUGUGCAUGAAUGAAUGAAUAUUAACUACCUCCUAUGUGUUAGGUUUUGUGUUUACAUGAAAUACAAGAUAAAUUGUCUUGAGUAACUCUGCCACGAAAUAAGAAUGUUUACAUUCUACACUAUUUAUUUACAAGGAAUGAGAUAAUGCUUAAUUGAAUCAGUCAAGUGAUGAGGGCAAGCUAAUACAAGAACAUUUGCGCAGGUAAUAGAGGAAAAUGUUAUGGCUGUGUGUACUUUCUUAGCCAUAAAGUACUACAGGAGUGCAAAACAUUACAUAUUUCCUACAGAAAUAAAACUGCCUACAAAAUAGGCAUGGUCUCUACAAAAUUCUCCUUGUAUUCUUGGCCUACAAUGAGAAAUAGUAUAAAUAGUUAACAAGCUGGGUGUGGUAGCAUAUGCUCUGAGUUCAGGCAGCUGAAGCAAGCAGCAGGACCACUUGAGCCUCGACAUUUGAAGCUAGCCCUGGAACACAGUGAGGUUAAAUGCCUGCUGAAUGAAUAUAUCAGUAUUUAUUAUCUAUAUAUGGUAUAUUCUUUCUUUAAAUGAAGAUUUAUUUAUUUAUCAUGUAUACAGUGUUCUGCCUGCAUUUAUGCCUGCAUGCCAGAAGAGGGCACCAGAUCUCAUUACAGAUGCUUGUGGUUGCUGGGACUUGAACUCAGAUUCUCUGGAAGAGCAGUCAGUGCUCUUAACAGCUGAGCCAUCUCUCCAGCCCCUGGUAUAUUCCUUCUUGUGGGCACAGGAGAGAUACACAUUUACAUUUUGGUGUGCCCAAAGCUGAAAGUCAUGUGUAUGUUGGCAUUUUAUGAACUUUGGGGUACCAUAUAAAUGUAACAAUUCAUUUUCUUGUUUGGUACCAAUUUCCAGGCUUUUAAAAUUCUGUCACAUUUAUUACACUGUGCAAACAAAGCAAAUAAAUAACUGUUGAGCACUGUGAAUAUAUGAGACAUUCAGCUUCGGAUGAAUGCAAGACUGAGUGGCAGUCAUUUAUUACAAAACUGUCCUUUCUAGGCACUGAGAUGCAAAGACAAAGCAUCCUUAGUGUCCCAUGUAUCUAAAGAAAUUAUGUGCAAGGUUAAUUAUAAUUUGUAAGCUGCCAUACAUUCCCAGUAGUCAAUUAUUUGCUUUUAUCUCCAGACACUGGGAUUACAAAAAAUUCAUUAUCAUUACUAUUGUCCAUAACAUUAUAUACCCACAACAAAGAUCUGUGUGGGGCUUUAUGAAGUCUGCAGUUCUAUAAAGUCAGUACCUAACUGUCAGCUUCAUCCAUGGACAGUGAUAACUUUCUGAGUUUCUUCAUGGAUAACACUUACUCAGAAUGCUUAUCACCUAAUAUAUACAUUUCACUGUGCUAUGUGCUGUGCAAACAGAUUGCUUUCUCUCGUGCAGUACUCACAGGACAUGUGAGAUCUAGACUUAAACUGUACUUAACUUCAAUGAUGAAAUGAAAACAACAAAAAAAAAUGGAUUUGUAUAUGGCAGUGUGCUAAGUGGAUUAUCCUGUCUAAAAGGAUACUUUCCUGCUGGCUUGACUGAAGAGAUGGGGGGAAAGUUCUAGUUGCUGUUUUCCAUCCAGUUUCUUAGAUGUUGAAUACUGCUGCUGGAGAUGAAUUAGAACUAUCCUGCCAGUAAAGGUGUGAAAAGAAAGGGCCAGAAUCAGGCCUGGAUAUCAGGGAACAGAAGGACAGAGCAUCAGAUGUGAUCCAGAACCUGCCAAAAUAGAGGACUGGGUGAGGACCAAACACCCAGAGCAUAAGCUUGUGGAGGACAUUUCACAUUCAAACUGUAAUAUCUAAUAAAACGUUGUUUAUAUAGCAUAUGCUAAUCUAGGUCCUAAAGCUACAAUGUGAGGUGGACCUAGAGAGCAGUACAGAUCACCAAUCAGCUGAGGAGGAGACACUAAGACAUGGUUUCAUUGUACAGCCCAGGCUGGUUCUAGUUGGUGAAUCUCCUGUUACAGCCUCUCAAGUGCUGAGAUUAUGGAUGUGUGUACGCACGACCAGCCUAUAGAAUGUAACUGAUUACUGAGUAAAUGAUAUUUUAGUGGCUGCUUGCUUGGAGGUGCUAUGCUUGAUGAAUUAGCUAAAUAGGUCUGGUCUAGAAGACCCAUUGACUUGACCUAGAGAUUUUGAAAAUCAAAUGAAGGCCAUGAUUCAUUCAACAUAAUGGAGACAUCCCUAGCUAAGGAAGCUCCAAAGGUCAUUUGUUCAUUGGCCUAGUUUAAAGCCAGGAUAAGGGAAUUUAAAGUCUGUCCUUUAAUUCAUUAGUUAAACAUUCUCCUUUUCUUACAGUUGAAGUGUUUCAAAGGAGAAUCAAGAUGAAUUAAUGAUUUCAAAGGUAUUUAUUUGCUCGGUGCCUGGCUCAGAGUCAAGGAGACAUGUGAGCAAUAAGAAAAUACUUUUGCACUCAUCAUACUUAAUAAAAACUUAAAUCUGAACAAAGUGCAGUUCGAAGUACUAACAGAAUGAGGACAUUUAAAGGACAUAACCCAAAGUGUACUGUAUCUCAAUAGCUUAUGAUGGGACAGCAGUAACACACUUUAGCUGAAAAAACUCAAGAUGGUAGCAUGGAAAUAAAAGGGGGCCUCUAUUUCUUGAAUUGCACACAUUGCAAAAGAUGUUACUGGAUGCUAAAUGAAACACAUCUGUUCCAAAAGGCACUUAGUGUGUGACUUACAGAUGCCUUGAAAAGCAGAGUGAUGUUCUUCAUUAAAGAGAAAUAAUAGCUCAAACAUUUGCUAGACUGAAAAAACAUUUGCUUUUUAAUUGACUCAGGUUAGAAUAUAGGAGGAACGUUACUAUUCAUUCAUUUUUUUCAUCUAUUCUACAAGUAUUUGCAUCUAAUGCUCUUCUUGGGCCUUCAUUUGGCUCCUGAGAUGUGAAAUAAAUAAAUAAACAAACAAACAAACAAACAAACAAACAAACAAACCAAUACCAUCCCUUCCCAGGGAACUGCUGAACUUUGGGCCUACUUUUUGGGUGGCAUGACUUAGUCCCCAAGUAACAUGCAGCUUAACUCCUCACCCCCUUCUCUGGCCACUACAACGAACAGGAAGCUGGGUUUUGUAGUAAGCCUGCUCCUAAAGUUGUGAGCCCUCUGCUAAAAAAAAAAAAACCAAAAAAACAAAAACCUCUUCAUUAUUCUAGUCCAUGGCUUAUUUUACCUAUGACCGUGACCACUAAUGGUCAGGAAGGAUGAUAGCCACCUAGUCCCCCAACUCCUAUCUCCUUAGUAUUAUCCCUGGGGAAAUAAGCCAUUCUUGAACUGCAGCAGGCUUUGAAAUAGAUCUGCAAAUUUUGUCUGUCUUCAGCUUUUUACCUUUUAAACAUGCCAAAGCAUAAACUGCCUGAAAAGGUCUCUUUGAUAGAAUCAGAUAGCAUACAGUAAUUUUAGAAAUGUUUUCCUUACUGUACAAAAUAUACUCAAGGCGGCUUGCUACAGUAAAAUAAUGCCAGUGGAUGAAAAUAACAUAAAAUUUUAACAUUCUUGCGUAAAAUUGGAAAAUGAUAAAAUUGGAAACAAUCAGAAAAUUGGAGGAAAGAAAGACUAUCAAAAGAACUUUGAAAAAAAUGCCUCUACAAGGAGAGCUGACCGUGAUUUGACCUUUUCUGCUUUUUUUUUUCACUCACAGAGGGUGGGACAGGAGGAAGAGUGAAGGAAAAGGUCAAACCUAUGUCUAAGGAGCAGCUUACCUUUGUUCUCAAUUGGGCCUAAGAACAUGACUGCUAUCUGGAACCUAAAUUGGGACUGCUUGGUCUUCACUUUAAUAUAGUUCCAAUAACUAAACAAUGUUGAGAAGAGGUAUCAACUUGUUAAAUGUUUCUGAAAAUGUAUUUUCAUCUAAAUGGUUUUCAGCUAAGCCUUGAGUUAGAUAAUAAUGAAAUAUAUUAGUUUACUCAUUGUGAUCUUUUUAUCCAAGUUGCCUUAAAGCUUAAGUCACAAUUUGCUAUGAGGGAGCUCAUUCAUUGUAGCCCAUACAUACUUUUAAAGUAUUAGACUGUAUUUUGCUUGGCAGGCCAAUGUUGACGUCCACAAAUGGGAGAAGGAAACAGAAAAAGGAAAAGAGUAGAUGGAGCCAGGUUGAAGAGGUCUGGGAGUUUUUUGUUUUUGUUUUUUGUUUGUUUUGUUUUCAUUAAAACUAAAUUGGGCAUCAGACACAGCUAAAGUGUUACUAACGUUAGCUUUUAAUGUGCGGGAUUGUCUGGACUCAGUAAUAUCCCUUUCAAUGGGUAGGGAUGGGGGCUACAUUCCGGAAAAGUGCAAAAGGAAAAAGUAACUAAAAGCCUUCCUUUCACAGUUUCUGCCAUCAAUAUGACUACGGAUUAAGCAAAAAUAAGGAGCAUCUUAUCAUCAUCUGCUUUGGUUGCAUAAGUGAACUUGUAAACAAAUUUAUUGUUGUUAUAGACAGUGUCGUCAUCUCUUCAACCAACUGUAAAAGAACUCAUACCAAAACACAUGGAUGAUACUUGGACUUGUGAACUUAUGUGGAAUGCGGAACUUCUUUUGACUCUUGGGUAUUUUGAAGACUAAAAAAAAAAAAUGCUGCUUAGCAUGAAUGACCACCAUAAAGCAAUCUAAAGUCACAUGUCACAACGAGCCAGGGUGGGUGGGUG
ensembl:lncRNA